GACUGGUAUGAAUGGUGUGGUGUUAACAACUAAUUGAUCACAACCAAUUACAGAUUUCUUUGUUCCUUCUCCUACCCACUAUUUCCCCUGACUAGACUUUA
ensembl:Y_RNA Y_RNA Y RNA